UACGUAGGGUGCGAGCGUUGUCCGGAAUUCUGGGCGUAAAGAGCUCGUAGGUGGUUUGUCGCGUUGUUCGUGAAAACUCACAACUCAAUUGUGGGCGUGCGGGCGAUACGGGGCAGACUGGAGUACUGCAGGGGAGACUGGAAUUCCUGGUGUAGCGGUGAAAUGCGCAGAUAUCAGGAAGAACACCUAUGGCGAAAGCAGCUCUCUGGGACGGUACUGACGCUGAGGUGCGAAAGCGUGGGGAGCAA
rnacentral:rRNA from 1 species